ensembl:snRNA U6 U6 spliceosomal RNA
GUGCUCGCUUCAGCAGCACAUAUACUAAAAUUAGAACAAUACAGAGAAGAUUAGCAUGGCCCCUGCGUAAGGUUGACACACAAAUUCGUGAAGCAUUCCAUAUUUUU